rnacentral:rRNA from 1 species
CCUACGGGCGGCAGCAGAGAGGAAUAUUGGUCAAUGGACGAGAGUCUGAACCAGCCAAGUAGCGUGAAGGAUGACUGCCCUAUGGGUUGUAAACUUCUUUUAUAUGGGAAUAAAAUGUUCCACGUGUGGGAUUUUGUAUGUACCAUAUGAAUAAGGAUCGGCUAACUCCGUGCCAGCAGCCGCGGUAAUACGGAGGAUCCGAGCGUUAUCCGGAUUUAUUGGGUUUAACGGGAGCGUAGGUGGAUUGUUAAGUCAGUUGUGAAAGUUUGCGGCUCAACCGUAAAAUUGCAGUUGAAAAUGGCAGUCUUGAGUACAGUAGAGGUGGGCGGAAUUCGUGGUGUAGCGGUGAAAUGCUUAGAUAUCACGAAGAACUCCGAUUGCGAAGGCAGUUCACUGGACUGCAACUGACACUGAGGCUCGAAAGUGUGGGUAUCAAACAGGAUUAGAUACCCCAGUAGUC